AGUGAACGCUGGCGGUAGGCCUAACACAUGCAAGUCGACCGACUAAAGGGAGGUAGCUUGCUACUUCGGCAGGCGACUGGUGGGCGGGUGGGGCAAAGAUGGGACUGAUCUGGUUCUUGGGUCCAAACGUGGGCCCUCCUACGCUAUUCCUCCAUACGCCCUAAGGGUGCAAGCAUGGGACCUCCGGCCCUCGCGCGAUUAGAUGAGCCGAUGUCGGAUUAGCUAGUUGGCGGGGUAAAGGCCCACCAAGGCGACGCUCCGUAGCUGGUCUGAGAGGAUGAUCAGAUACACUGGAAGUGAGACACGGUCCAGACUCCUACGGGAGGCAGCAGUGGGGAAUAUUGGACAAUGGGCGCAAGCCUGAUCCAGCCAUACCGCGUGGGUGAAGAAGGGCUUCGGGUUGUAAAGCGCUUUUGUUGGGGAAGAAUUGCAGCAGGUUAAUCCCCCGCUGUUUCGACGGUACCAACAGAAUAAGCACCGGCUAACUUCGUG
rnacentral:rRNA from 1 species